rnacentral:rRNA from 1 species
GGUUGGAUCACCUCCUUACU